rnacentral:lncRNA from 1 species
AGGAGAUCCCUGGUGGAGGGCUCUCCGUUCCCCCCCGGCUUCUUUGCCCCCCGCUGCCCCCGAGGCCCGCUCGGGGUUCAGGCCCUGCGUGUAGGCCGCGUUGCCACGGCGACGGCACGCCCUCUCUCUCCGCGCGCCCUUGGAACUGCCACCGCGGCGACAGGGCAUGCGUGACGACGUCGGCAUAGCAACAGCGCCUCAGCGCGCAUGCGCGUGCUCGGUGCCCGAGCGGCGCGUCCUGUGGCGUCAUCACCCCGCGCCCCGAGGAAGAGGCGGCCGUGCCGAAGUCGAGCUGCGCUCCGCACUGCUCCAGCGCCGCCGGGCAACCCCGGGGCUCCGAGCGCCGCCUCAGCAUCUGCAAACCGUCAUCCCGAGAGAGUCAGGUGUACACCGGAUAUGUGGUGUAUAUUCACAAGAUCUGCCCCCGCCAUUUUGAAAGUAACUGAAAGUGACCUGGAUGGAAUAGAGAGUAAUCAAGAAGAUGUGAUGGA